AUACUAAACUGACUGAGCCACCCAAGCACCCAAGGUGAUGAAAACGUUCUGGAAUUAGUGAUGGUUGCACCCCUUAUGAAUAUACUAAAAACUAUUGAAAUGUACCCUUUAAAAUUUUAUGCUUCCUUGGCUUUUCUGAGCAUGUGUCCUACACAUUCCUUCAGCUGCAAAUAACAGAAAUCUGCUCUAACUAGCUCAAGCAAGAAGGGAAAUAAUUAAAAGAAGCUGGCGGGGGUGGUCCCUGAUGGAACUCAAGAUCAGGAGUGCAAAGGAGCAUCAAGAAUAAAUUGAAGUUAAAACAACGGGCUCUCUUCUUGUUUCUUUCCAUUUCUGUCCACAUGUUAGCCUUACUCCCUUUGAGCACAGACCAUUUCCCCAGUCCACAUGACUGAAAACCAGUAACUGCUGAGAUUUACAUGUUGCGGGCCCAAGCUUGAGCUCUCACCAGCUCGGGGCUCCCAGAAUAUCUCAGAAGAGAGUAAUGUUCCAACGCAUUAGGUGUGUCCUCAUUGACUGUAGUCAGGGAGCAGUAGCAUGACGGUACAAGGUGACUACUUCCAUGGUAAACCUGGGAUUAUGGGUGGAGGGUGAUUCUAGGAAGUGAGUCAGAAGAUAAGUGGGAUAGAAGCAGUAACAUCAGGC